CCUACGGGAGGCAGCAGUGAGGAAUAUUGGUCAAUGGCCGGAAGGCUGAACCAGCCAAGCCGCGUGAAGGACGAAGGUGCCAAGCAUUGUAAACUUCUUUUGUCAAGGGACAAAAUCAGGCUCGAGAGCCUGACUGAGGGUCCUUGAAGAAACAGCAUGGGCUAACUCCGUGCCAGCAGCCGCGGUAAUACGGAGGAGGCGAGCGUUAUCCGGAGUUAUUGGGUUUAAAGGGUGCGUAGGCGGACUGUUAAGUCAGCGGUGAAAGUUUGUGGCUUAACCCUAGAAUUGCCGUUGAGACUGGUUGACUUGAGUAUAUGUGAGGUAGGCGGAAUGCGUGGUGUAGCGGUGAAAUGCAUAGAUAUCACGCAGAACUCCAAUUGUGAAGGCAGCUUACUAAACUAUAACUGACACUGAAGCACGAAAGCGUGGGGAUCAAACAGGAUUAGAUACCCCUGUAGUC
rnacentral:rRNA from 1 species